ACUAAACCAUGCACCGAAGCUGCGGCAGCGAACGUAUCACUUAAAGCGAUUCAGCGGGUUACGAUUGACGGAGCGAAGCGACGUCAAAGCGUAUACAAAGUCGAGUCGGUUUAAGGAUACGUUCGUUGGGUAGGGGAGCGUUCUGUAAGCCUGCGAAGGUGGCCUGUGAGGGUUGCUGGAGGUAUCAGAAGUGCGAAUGCUGACAUAAGUAACGAUAAAGCGGGUGAAAAGCCCGCUCGCCGGAAGACCAAGGGUUCCUGUCCAACGUUAAUCGGGGCAGGGUGAGUCGACCCCUAAGGCGAGGCCGAAAGGCGUAGUCGAUGGGAAACGGGUUAAUAUUCCCGUACUUGGUGUUACUGCGAAGGGGGGACGGAGAAGGCUAUGUUGGCCGGGCGACGGUUGUCCCGGUUUAAGCGUGUAGGUGUGUGUUCCAGGUAAAUCCGGUUCACUUUAACACUGAGGCGUGACGACGAGGCACUACGGUGCUGAAGCAACAAAUGCCCUGCUUCCAGGAAAAGCCUCUAAGCAUCAGGUAACAUCAAAUCGUCGGGUAAGUUCCGACCUGCACGAAUGGCGUAAUGAUGGCCAGGCUGUCUCCACCCGAGACUCAGUGAAAUUGAACUCGCUGUGAAGAUGCAGUGUACCCGCGGCAAGACGGAAAGACCCCGUGAACCUUUACUAUAGCUUGACACUGAACAUUGAGCCUUGAUGUGUAGGAUAGGUGGGAGGCUUUGAAGUGUGGACGCCAGUCUGCAUGGAGCCGACCUUGAAAUACCACCCUUUAAUGUUUGAUGUUCUAACGUGGACCCGUAAUCCGGGUUGCGGACAGUGUCUGGUGGGUAGUUUGACUGGGGCGGUCUCCUCCUAAAGAGUAACGGAGGAGCACGAAGGUUGGCUAAUCCUGGUCGGACAUCAGGAGGUUAGUGCAAUGGCAUAAGCCAGCUUGACUGCGAGCGUGACGGCGCGAGCAGGUGCGAAAGCAGGUCAUAGUGAUCCGGUGGUUCUGAAUGGAAGGGCCAUCGCUCAACGGAUAAAAGGUACUCCGGGGAUAACAGGCUGAUACCGCCCAAGAGUUCAUAUCGACGGCGGUGUUUGGCACCUCGAUGUCGGCUCAUCACAUCCUGGGGCUGAAGUAGGUCCCAAGGGUAUGGCUGUUCGCCAUUUAAAGUGGUACGCGAGCUGGGUUUAGAACGUCGUGAGACAGUUCGGUCCCUAUCUGCCGUGGGCGCUGGAGAACUGAGGGGGGCUGCUCCUAGUACGAGAGGACCGGAGUGGACGCAUCACUGGUGUUCGGGUUGUCAUGCCAAUGGCACUGCCCGGUAGCUAAAUGCGGAAGAGAUAAGUGCUGAAAGCAUCUAAGCACGAAAC
rnacentral:rRNA from 1 species